rnacentral:rRNA from 1 species
GGCGCACGGGUGCGUAACGCGUGGGAAUCUGCCCCUUGGUUCGGAAUAACGGUUGGAAACGACUGCUAAUACCGGAUGAUGACGUAAGUCCAAAGAUUUAUCGCCGAGGGAUGAGCCCGCGUAGGAUUAGGUAGUUGGUGUGGUAAAGGCGCACCAAGCCGACGAUCCUUAGCUGGUCUGAGAGGAUGAUCAGCCACACUGGGACUGAGACACGGCCCAGACUCCUACGGGAGGCAGCAGUGGGGAAUAUUGGACAAUGGGCGAAAGCCUGAUCCAGCAAUGCCGCGUGAGUGAUGAAGGCCUUAGGGUUGUAAAGCUCUUUUACCCGGGAUGAUAAUGGCAGUACCGGGAGAAUAAGCUCCGGCUAACUCCGUGCCAGCAGCCGC